AGUGAACGCUGGCGGCGUGCCUAAUACAUGCAAGUCGAACGGAAUUUAAAAGAGCUUGCUCUUUUAAAUUUAGUGGCGCACGGGUGAGUAAUAUAUAGCUAAUCUGCCCCUUGCUGGAGGACAACAGUUAGAAAUGACUGCUAAUACUCCAUACUCCUUUUUACCAUAAGAUAAAUCGGGAAAGAAUUUCGGCAAGGGAUGAGACUAUAUCGUAUCAGCUAGUCGGUGGGGUAACGGCCUACCGAGGCUAUGACGCGUAACUGGUCUGAGAGGAUGAUCAGUCACAUUGGAACUGAGACACGGUCCAAACUCCUACGGGAGGCAGCAGUAGGGAAUAUUGCGCAAUGGGGGAAACCCUGACGCAGCAACGCCGCGUGGAGGAUGACACUUUUCGGAGCGUAAA
rnacentral:rRNA from 1 species